rnacentral:misc_RNA from 1 species
GAUGAAGAACGCAGUGAAAUGCGAUAAGUAAUGUGAAUUGCAGAAUUCAGUGAAUCAUCGAAUCUUUGAACGCACAUUGCGCCCGCCAGUAUUCUGGCGGGCAUGCCUGUCCGAGCGUCAUUUCAACCAUCAAGCCCCGGGCUUGUGUUGGGGACCUGCGUCCGACGCAGGCCCCGAAAACCAGUGGCGGGCUCGCUGUCCACACCGAGCGUAGUAGCUAACCUCGCUCCGGAGUGGCGCGGGCGCCUGCCGUAAAACCCCCCCAAUUUUACAAGGUUGACCUCGGAUCAGGUAGGAAUACCCGCUGAACUUAAGCAUAUCAAUAAGCGGAGGA